AGUGCUGAUUGGUGCAUUUACAAUCCUUUAGCUAGACAGAAAAGUUCUUCAAGUCCCCACUUGACCCAGAAAGUCCAGCUGGCUUCACCUCUUAAAACUACUCCACCUGAGGUUUUUAGAUCAAAAAGAAUUGUACUCAAGGAAUUGAAGCUAUGGAGCCUCUGCCACAUCUGGACCUGAUUUUGAUGACAAGAUCCUGUACCUCAAGCCCGAGACUAAUUUCAUAAUUUGAUGAAUCUUUUUGGAGAGUCAUGGGAGGAAUGUAAACAAUUUGUGGCCAAAGGAGAAUUAUGGUAGUUUGAAGAUGUGGAUACAAAUUAUUUGACAUUCUUCUCAUAGAAAGGUAACUCCAUAGCUGGGAGCCAAGUCUCGAAGCCCCAUGAGGGGAAGUGGAUACAUCUCAGAAUUGGGUUUCCUGAUACACACGACUGCAUCCUUCAUCUGCCAGGCCCUGGCAUUGUUUACUGGAGAAGAUGUCAUAGGAAAUUGGGCUAUGUCAUUGAGCCACUGGAGUCACACAUGAACAGCCAUUUGGAGAUUCUGGAAUUGAUGGUUCAGAUGAAGACAUGGAAGCAUAAGAAAUUGCCAAUAUUCACUUUGGGAGACCGAGACGGG
rnacentral:lncRNA from 1 species